AUACGUAGGGUGCGAGCGUUGUCCGGAAUUACUGGGCGUAAAGAGCUCGUAGGUGGUUUGUCGCGUCGUCUGUGAAAUUCCGGGGCUUAACUCCGGGCGUGCAGGCGAUACGGGCAUAACUUGAGUACUGUAGGGGAGACUGGAAUUCCUGGUGUAGCGGUGAAAUGCGCAGAUAUCAGGAGGAACACCGGUGGCGAAGGCGGGUCUCUGGGCAGUAACUGACGCUGAGGAGUGAAAGCAUGGGUAGCGAACAGGAUUAGAUACCCUGGUAGUCCAUGCCGUAAACGGUGGGCGCUAGGUGUAGGGGUCUUCCACGACUUCUGUGCCGUAGCUAACGCAUUAAGCGCCCCGCCUGGGGAGUACGGCCGCAAGGCUAAAACUCAAAGGAAUUGACGGGG
rnacentral:rRNA from 1 species